UAUUGCUCUUCAACGAGGAAUGCCUAGUAGGCACGAGUCAUCAGCUCGUGCCGAUUACGUCCCUGCCCUUUGUACACACCGCCCGUCGCUACUACCGAUUGAAUGGCUCGGUGAGGCCUUCGGACUGGCUCAGGGGAGUUGGCAACGACUCCCCAGAGCCGGAAAGUUGGUCAAACCCGGUCAUUUAGAGGAAGUAAAAGU
rnacentral:rRNA from 1 species